rnacentral:ncRNA from 1 species
ACACGAUAAUGGCAAACCUGUCGAAAGGCAGGGACGCAAAGCUAUAGGGCCUUCUUAACUAUAAGAUGGCAGCCUGGCCGCCGAA